rnacentral:rRNA from 1 species
CACCUUGAGAAUGCCUGAUCUUGAAGCCGAGCAGGUUCAGGCCUGGUUAGUACUUUGAUGGGAGACACUGGGAAUUCCAGGUGCUGAAGUGG